rnacentral:rRNA from 1 species
GGGGAAUAUUGCGCAAUGGGGGAAACCCUGACGCAGCAACGCCGCGUGAAGGAAGAAGGCCUUCGGGUUGUAAACUUUUGUCUUUAGGGAAGAAACAAAUGACGGUACCUAAGGAGGAAGCCACGGCUAACUACGUGCCAGCAGCCGCGGUAAUACGUAGGUGGCAAGCGUUAUCCGGAUUUACUGGGUGUAAAGGGAGCGUAGGCGGGACUUUAAGUCAGAUGUGAAAUACCGGGGCUCAACCCCGGGGCUGCAUUUGAAACUGGAGUUCUUGAGUGUCGGAGAGGUAAGUGGAAUUCCUAGUGUAGCGGUGAAAUGCGUAGAUAUUAGGAGGAACACCAGUGGCGAAGGCGACUUACUGGACGAUAACUGACGCUGAGGCUCGAAAGUGUGGGGAGCAAAC